AGUUGUUUGAGAUUGAUUGAAGAUCUCAAUUGUAAGAAAAAACAAACUGAGAGAGGGCAGAGAAAGGCAACUGAGACCUUGCCAUACAAUGCCUUGGUGGGAUGGACUUUCUGGUAAACCUUGUGUUAACUCCUCAAGGAAAUGCCUGGGCAUAUACCAGAAUAGUGCCUGACAGUGUGAUGCAACCUAAUGCUGCCUCUACUUGCUGGAAUUUUACCUUGUGCCUCUGGGUGGUAAUUAGGGAUUGUUUGAUCUGAGUCAAUAAAAUACUAUUCAAUUUCCCCUGCAGACAUCAGAGAUGCAUUUAUUACAGUAAAAAUAUUUUCCCAUGCCACUAUUUGAAUUUAAAGCAUACAUGUCUGCUCAUUUAAUUUCUAGCUACUUACACAAGCUUUUUAACAUAUAGACUAAGUGCAAAUUAAAAACACAAGGACAUUACUCAUGUUUCUGGAGGUAAAGAUG
rnacentral:lncRNA from 1 species